GAUGAACGCUGGCGGCGUGCCUAAUACAUGCAAGUCGAGCGAACAGACGAGGAGCUUGCUCCUCUGACGUUAGCGGCGGACGGGUGAGUAACACGUGGAUAACCUACCUAUAAGACUGGGAUAACUUCGGGAAACCGGAGCUAAUACCGGAUAAUAUAUUGAACCGCAUGGUUCAAUAGUGAAAGACGGUUUUGCUGUCACUUAUAGAUGGAUCCGCGCCGCAUUAGCUAGUUGGUAAGGUAACGGCUCACCAAGGCGACGAUGCGUAGCCGACCUGAGAGGGUGAUCGGCCAAACCGGAACUGAGACACGGUCCAGACUCCUACGGGAGGCAGCAGUAGGGAAUCUUCCGCAAUGGGCGAAAGCCUGACGGAGCAACGCCGCGUGAGUGAUGAAGGUCUUCGGAUCGUAAAACUCUGUUAUUAGGGAAGAACAAAUGUGUAAGUAACUAUGCACGUCUUGACGGUACCUAAUCAGAAAGCCACGGCUAACUACGUG
rnacentral:rRNA from 1 species